rnacentral:rRNA from 1 species
UACGUAGGGUGCAAGCGUUGUCCGGAAUUACUGGGCUUAAAGGGUGCGUAGGCGGCUGUGUAAGUCAGGAGUGAAAGUUUGCGGCUCAACCGUAAAAUUGCUUUUGAUACUGCAUGGCUAGAAUCAGGAUGAGGUUAGCGGAAUGUGGCAUGUAGCGGUGAAAUGCAUAGAUAUGCCAUAGAACACCAAUUGCGAAGGCAGCUGGCUAGACCUGUAUUGACGCUGAGGCACGAAAGCGUGGGGAGCGAACAGG